GACGAACGCUGGCGGCGUGCCUAAUACAUGCAAGUAGAACGCACAGUUUAUACCGUAGCUUGCUACACCAUAGACUGUGAGUUGCGAACGGGUGAGUAACGCGUAGGUAACCUGCCUGGUAGCGGGGGAUAACUAUUGGAAACGAUAGCUAAUACCGCAUAAUAUUGAUUAUUGCAUGAUAAUUGAUUGAAAGAUGCUAUUGCAUCACUACCAGAUGGACCUGCGUUGUAUUAGCUAGUAGGUGAGGUAACGGCUCACCUAGGCGACGAUACAUAGCCGACCUGAGAGGGUGAUCGGCCACACUGGGACUGGGACACGGCCCAGAGUCCUAAGGGAGGCAGCAGUAGGGAAUCUUCGGCAAUGGACGAAAAUCUUGCCGAGCAACGCCGCGUGAGUGGAGAAGGGUUUCGGAUCGUAAAGCUCUGUUGUAAGGGAAGAACGGGUGUGAGAGUGGAAAGUUCACACUGUGACGGUAUCUUACCAGAAAGGGACGGCUAACUACGUG
rnacentral:rRNA from 1 species